GUGGCCUGCAGCUUUGUCGUCCGGGUACGUCACCAAGACGCGCCCCCGACGUCCUGAAGUCAUUACGUCAUUCGUACCCAAGGUGCGUGUGAAACCCUGUUUUUAUCAAGGUCCUGGAGGACACUCAUUCAUGCCUUUAGAAAAAGAAAAAUGUCAUUGGUUACACAGCGGGGACUGAUUUUCCCUUUUACCAGAUAAAUCUGCUUUCAGAUAUUGCUGACACUUCUCCAGAGGAGAGUACAGAAAGG